GAGGGUAUAGCUCAGUGGUAGAGCGCAUGCUUAGCAUGCACGGCGUCCUGGGUUCAAUCCCCGGCACCUCCG
rnacentral:tRNA from 1 species